rnacentral:piRNA from 1 species
CUCAGCUUCUGCCUCUUCGAUGUAUUUUA